AACAGGAACAGGAAUGGAUCCCAAACAUGGUCGAGGAGAUCUUCCACCCUGUUUAAGAGAUGAUUUCCAUGGAGAAUGAGCCUGGAGGAAUGCUGGGUGAGGAAUCACAUUCUGUCUCUGCAGUCAGAGGCUGAGACUGAUCAAUGAGCUAAUGAAGAGGUAUUGCAAAAAUGCAAUGACUUGUUCUUGCAUCCCUGUUUGGUGAAGCCAUCCCUAAGGACCACGGAACCCACAAAGCAGUACUGAAGAUUCUGCAGCAAUGUGAAUACACAAACACACCCUCACCCAGGGCCUUUGCCAGUCCUCUGUCAUUCAGAUCACACAUCAGUGAGACUGGCUCAGCUCAGUGAAUUGAGAUGCCCUCAACUAAAGGAGCUCUGUUUGAUGUUCCUGUGGAAUGUAUGACAAUUGACAGCUUUCUCUCUAGGCCUGCAAUUAUGAACGUCAUCAUCUUCCCUGAAUAAAGGACUACUUUACCUGCAAGAUUUGGAGAAUAGAGACCUAAAGGAAAACACUGAGCAUGAAAAUAAUUCUAUCAACCACCUCUAUAGAUUAUAAUUCUUCUAGCUAGAAACUUUACUGGAGCCUCUCACAUUUGGGCAGAAAUAAAGGACCUGUAAGAUUACAUGGGAAAUGAGUAACCCACAUCAGGAUGUACAUACCCACGCAUAGACCUCUCAAGGUCAUUGGAAAUCUGGGCUGUAGCAAUGUAACAACAACAACAACAACAAAAAGAAGCGCAGAAUUCAGCCCAUGGUCACACCAAUUGGGAAACAGUAGACUUGAUUCUGGGCUUUAUUUCAUCUGGUCCACAGGGCAAAUAUCAAAAGCUGACUGUGUGUGUAUCUAGCUGGGCAAAGAUACAUGGCUAAAGUCUUUAGCAGGAAGUGUAAAGGGCCACAUACAAUGAAACUGAAUGAAAAGUUUUUGUUUUGUAAUAGAUUGUGACCCUCAAAAGGGAGUAAAACAUUAACAGUUUUUCUCUAAAGAAAAUUCUAAAAAAUAUCAGAAGAUGGUGAAUUUCAAAAAUACUUAUGCCUUCAAAUUUCAGUUUGAUGAAAAAGCUCACAUGAAACGUUUGCUUCUUUUUAGAUAUAAAGGAUUAUGAAAAAGGGGUGAAUGAAUGCAUUACAUCUUUGCCUCUCAAGCUUUAUCAAAGAGGUUUCAUUCCUUCUUGGGAUCCCCGUCUUCUCUGCCCUUCUCACUUAGCUUGACACAACAUAAAGCCAAACUACAUUUUAUGUUUCAUGUUCUAAGUUAAAAAUAUGGGUUGAGAAUAUUUUGGCUUCUUUUUCUAUAAAGUAGAAAAACUGAAUUGAAAAACAUGUCUAUUUUUGAAAAUGUGUAUCUAUUGCACUAGAAAGAAAAUAACUUUCUCCACCUAAUAUCUACAUGGUAUGCUUUUUUUUCCCCCUCAGAAAUUUUUGGAAGCAUUUAUUUUGGUAUUAUAUGGCUAACUCCAUAUUUUUCAACUGGCCAAAAUUAAUUCCUCAAAGAUUCCAUGGCUAGCUGAAGAGGUAUGGGUAACUGAUUUCUAAAUGUGCAUUUAAAGUAGAAUCUCCAUGUCCAUCGCAGAGGCAGCACAGGGAUAAACAGACAUGAAUCAAGGGUAUUGAUGUCAGAAAUGGCUUGAGGCCAGACCACACUCUUCAUGAAUGGAUUAGACACCCUGAGUUUAAAAUCAUCACCCUGAAAACCCUGAGUUUUAAGUCAUGAGAAGAGCUUGCUUGUUUGUUUUCUGGGUUCUUCCAAUGUGGUGGGGAGCUCAGCUGGAGACUUCAACAUGCUUCUGCACUUCCACUGAAAAACAGGAUUGGCAGCUCUUGGCAUGACUUCACCAUUUAGCUAAGAUCUGUGUGUUUCUUGGCUUAAAAUGUACAUAUUGCUCUCAGAUCUUGUGUGCAUAUUAGACACAAUAAAAUUAAGACUCAGGAAUUCAAAAAUUAAGUUAAAAGGAUGGAAGAAAUAAAAAUCUGCAGUGCUUGGGAAAAUUCCGCCACAAUAGGAAUUUCAAAAGCAGAGAUUUCAACCUACCAAAAGUCAAAUCUAGAAAUGAUUCCAGAAAGCUCUCCAACAGCCAUCUCCUACAAGGAUCCCUUCUAGCCGUAGUUUUAAUUAAGUUAACAGGUCUUUCUCAAUACGUAGGUUUUAUUUCAGGUUAAUAAAAAGUAAAAAGAUUGUUUAGUUUACUAAGUGUCUAAGCCAACUUAUAUGUCAACUGUAUACAAAGCAAAAGCAAAAACCAGACUCU
rnacentral:lncRNA from 10 species